UACAGAGGGUGCAAGCGUUAAUCGGAAUUACUGGGCGUAAAGCGAGCGUAGGUGGCUUGAUAAGUCAGAUGUGAAAUCCCCGGGCUUAACCUGGGAACUGCAUCUGAUACUGUUGGGCUAGAGUAGGUGAGAGGGAGGUAGAAUUUCAGGUGUAGCGGUGAAAUGCGUAGAGAUCUGAAGGAAUACCGAUGGCGAAGGCAGCCUCCUGGCAUCAUACUGACACUGAGGUUCGAAAGCGUGGGUAGCAAACAGG
rnacentral:rRNA from 1 species